AACCAGCACCUCAAGUGGUCAGGAUGAUUAUUGGGCCUAAAGCAUCCGUAGCCGGCUCUGUAAGUUUUCGGUUAAAUCUGUACGCUUAACGUACAGGCUGCCGGGAAUACUGCAGAGCUAGGUAGUGGGAGAGGUAGACGGUACUCGGUAGGAAGGGGUAAAAUCCUUUGAUCUAUUGAUGACCACCUGUGGCGAAGGCGGUCUACCAGAACACGUACGACGGUGAGGGAUGAAAGCUGGGGGAGCAAACCGGAUUAGAUACCCGGGUAGUCCCAGCUGUAAACUAUGCAAACUCAGUGAUGCAUUGGCUUGUGGCCAAUGCAGUGCUGCAGGGAAGCCGUUAAGUUUGCCGCCUGGGAAGUACGUACGCAAGUAUGAAACUUAAAGGAAUUGGCGGGGGAGCACCACAAGGGGUGAAGCCUGCGGUUCAAUUGGAGUCAACGCCAGAAAUCUUACCCGGAGAGACAGCAGAAUGAAGGUCAAGCUGAAGACUUUACCAGACAAGCUGAGAGGUGGUGCAUGGCCGUCGCCAGCUCGUGCCGUGAGAUGUCCUGUUAAGUCAGGUAACGAGCGAGAUCCCUGCCUCUAGUUGCCACCAUUACUCUCAGGAGUAGUGGGGCGAAUUAGCGGGACCGCCGCAGUUAAUGCGGAGGAAGGAAGGGGCCACGGCAGGUCAGUAUGCCCCGAAACUCUGGGGCCACACGCGGGCUGCAAUGGUAACGACAAUGGGUUUCGAAUUCGAAAGGAUGAGGUAAUCCUCAAACGUUACCACAGUUAUGACUGAGGGCUGCAACUCGCCCUCACGAAUAUGGAAUCCCUAGUAACUGCGUGUCACUAUCGCGCGGUGAAUACGUGCCUGCUCCU
rnacentral:rRNA from 1 species